rnacentral:rRNA from 1 species
UACGUAGGGUGCGAGCGUUGUCCGGAAUUAUUGGGCGUAAAGAGCUCGUAGGCGGUCUGUCGCGUCGGUCGUGAAAACCUGCAGCUUAACUGUGGGCGUGCGGUCGAUACGGGCAUGACUGGAGUUCGGCAGGGGAGACUGGAAUUCCUGGUGUAGCGGUGAAAUGCGCAGAUAUCAGGAGGAACACCGGUGGCGAAGGCGGCAUCCUGGACCGGUAUUGACGCUGAGGCGCGAAAGCCAGGGGAGCAAACGGG